rnacentral:lncRNA from 1 species
UUCAAGAGAUGGGACCCGAGACUCAAACCCGGAUCCUUCAGAAUGGAAAGCCGAAGCGUUUUCACGCAGCCAAUCCGGCCGACUCUCACGGGAGAUUGUGGGUGGUCUAAUCCUCCCUUACAAUGCGCCGUAGGAAUACCAGAAUACUUACUGUCAAAUGCAGGGACAUUUCGGUAAAAUAUCGUCCGACUGAAAGCGUUCAUUAAUGUACUCAGACAAAAUCAUCACAUAUAUAGGCAUAAUUGCUAUUGGUAACGGCCGGAUGGCUGCCUGGCAGUACUAUGUCCACACGUUGUCGUGCCACGCAGGAGAACCUGGGUUCGCGUUCUUUUUCUGGUAUCUCACGAAAAAAUUUUCGAUGUUUACACCAAGGGCAAAAUUUUCGAUGUUUACUCUCCUCCGUGGGUGCGGCUGCAGUCCGUGAGUAGAAUUCUUUCCGCCUUUUAGUAAUUUCAUGGAUUGGAGGGGAGUUAAAAAUAUAUCCGCCGUGGAACUUGUGCAGAAGGCGCCAGCUGUCCAUCGCGUCAAGACGAGCCGUCCUGAAAAUUGAAAAGUGGGGUUCGACGGGCCGGGUCCUGACUCAUUCUGAAAAGCUGGAGGUAUGGGACCCGGAUUUGAACUCGGACCAGAAUGGAGAGAGACACUUUACCACGCGGUUAUCCGGCC